rnacentral:rRNA from 1 species
UACGUAGGCAGCGAGCGUUGUUCGGAGUUACUGGGCGUAAAGCGUGCGUAGGCGGUUUUGUAAGUUUGGUGUGAAAUCUCCCGGCUCAACUGGGAGGGUGCGCCGAAAACUGCAAGGCUGGAGUGUGGGAGAGGUAGGCGGAAUUCCUGGUGUAGCGGUGAAAUGCGUAGAUAUCAGGAGGAACACCUGUGGUGUAGACGGCUUACUGGACCAUAACUGACGCUGAGGCACGAAAGCGUGGGGAGCAAACAGG